UCCGGAGCAAGAACAGCAGGCAAGAAUAUGCAGUGGUUUAUUGGCAUCAGUUGCGUUCUGUCGUAGUGAUCACUGUGCGGCAGUUUAUGUUCGCACACAUCGAACUGUUACGAGUGACGUGUCUCAUUGCGCAUUUCGCGAAAUCUCUGGUGAAGUUACGGGACCUGGUUCAGCUCUGAUGAGCUGACAGAAGCGGUCGAAGGUGGUGCCACGGGUAGUGCUUGAAAUGGAGCCGGAUCCCCAUUGGCAACUCUCUGGAACCUCUUCUGGCGCUCGAGACGCGGAGUUGCUGCGCCCGAUACCGGAGUUGACUGUGGGACCUAGUAUACGCGCGCGAACGCAUUAUGAUUACCCGCAGAUAGCUCCUCAGGGAGGAGAUGGAGACCGACCAACUCCGCCCAAGGAACCAGAGCCCGUCCAGCAGCACUCCGAAGUGGCCUUGCGGCUAGGAAGCAUACUCCUGGACAACUUGGUGGCGCAGCCGUGCAUAGUGCUGAGAAGACAAUGUCAGGUGCAUAGGGCUGCCAGCAAGUACCACUUGACACCAUGGACGCUCUUUCCAAUCAUCGCGAGGCUGCAGCAGAGACAGGGUUUGAUCACCCUCUGGAAAGGUGCACCAAGCAUGUUUAUUGUACGUGGCAUCAUUGUGGUGGUGGAGACUGUCCUUGCUGAAACGACCUCACUUCCUCGAGAGCUCACAUCACACAGUUCUCUUCGUCAGCUAUGGCAACAUCUGCUUCUCAAAAGCGUGGCCCUUGCUGUGGCAACGCCCUUCAGCUGUGCCAGUCUCGUGGAAGUGGUUCAGUGCGAGGGGGCCAGUGAACGACCGGGCUUAUUUGACUGCCUGCGUGAGGGUCUAGUGCGGCUGCUUCCACGAGGGGGUCCCAAGCGUGGUCGCCUGCUGCCCCUGUGGCGCCUCCUGGGCCCAUCCAUGGCUCAUGGCCUCGCCCACUACCUACUGUCCAGCGUGGUGCGAUGGGCUGCAUUGCAACUGCUCUGCAUUCACCGGCACAGACAGCACCGACAGAUACUACUGUUGCGGCACCAGGCUGGCAUUGUGCAUGGCCCCAUGGGCGAUGCGCCGGAAGUACAGCCAGAAGGUGCUUCAUUUCUUGAAGAAAUGGUGGCAUCACUCAUUGGUGCACUCGUGGCAGAUGUGCUGCUCUUUCCUUUGGAAACUGUACUCCACAGGUUGUACUUGCAGGGAACGCGAACCAUUGUGGACAACCUGGACACAGGCUGCUCGGUGACUGCCAUCAUAUCCCAGUACCAAGGACCAGUGGACUGCUUCCGGUGCAUAGUGGCUGAGGAAGGUGCAGCGGGCCUUUACAAGGGAUUCGGGGCUCUGCAGCUUCAAUACGUGCUCCAGGGAGCCCUGCUCAAGCUGACACAAAUGCUGUGCCAGGAGUUCUGCCCACAUGUCCUGUAGUACCGUGCUUCUUUUAUUUGCACACAUUGUGGUUUAGUGAGGGAGUGCUCGACCGUUCUGCCACCUUGCUUUCCAUGACUACACAAGUAAUAUGGUUCAGAAGUGGCACUGCUUCGGUGGCAUGCUAGAAAAAUUGUCACUUUUCUUUUCAGCACAGAAAAUUUGGCCACGUGAUGUGUAGCCACAUCUUGAAGAUGAACCUGUGCUGCACUUGGUGGCCCAGCGCUGAACACUUGGCACCCAUGAACAACUAGUAUGCAUGUAACUUAGGCUCCACAUGCUACAAACAGCUAGAAAGUCUGGGCAUCACUUCCAGUUGCAAUGAAUUUUACUAUAAUUUCAGCUGAAGGUGAUUUUCUUCCCUUGAAACGGUACCACUGCCUUCUGGGCUUGUCGCUUGGCUGCCCAGGAUGGAUGCAGGUCUGCUGGCACAUGCGGAAAGAAGAAUGAGGAGAGAGUUAUUUAUUAAUCACUUAUAGAAAAAAUAAACAUUCAUGUGCUUAGCAAC
rnacentral:misc_RNA from 1 species